CAGGAAGUGACAAAAAGGAAUGGUCUUUAUAACUGCCAAGAACUUCCUGUGAAGAGGUCUUUCGCCUUCAACUUGAUCUUGAAGGAGCUCCAGCUUGAGACCUCAGGCUGCUCUUGGACUUUUCCCUUAGAACUACCACAUGGGAUUGGGGCCCACUCUGCUGGGGUGUCAUCUUAUCCUCUAAGAGCCCAGGGUCUGACCCCUGGGAAUAGAACCUGUGGGACAGGAGAAGGCUUCAACCAGGAAAGAAAACACAGUUAGAUUCAACCCAGAGGAACAGGUACAGUUGUACAGCCAAUGAUGGUGGGGACCAAAAAAAGCCUAUGGUAGCUGCCUUUAAAUUCUACCUGUUUAGAGAGAAGACAGUUGAGAGAGAGAACCCACCAAAAAAUAUAAUCAUCGUUGAUCAAAUGCCUACCAACCAUCAAGAUGAGGAAAAUGAGGCUCAGGGAGGUUCUAUUGCUCCUGGGCAGACAACUAGUAAAUAUCAGAAGCAGGAUCAGAACUCGUCUUCCUGACUCCAGAUCGAGGACUCUGUGAGCUAUGCCAAUCUCAUUCCCUUUGGGAAGCAUUUCAAAAUAAACUCACCCAAUUCUAACCA
rnacentral:lncRNA from 1 species